GACGAACGCUGGCGGCGUGCUUAACACAUGCCAGUCGAACGGAAAGGCCCUGCUUUUGUGGGGCGCUCGAGUGGCGAACGGGUGAGUAACACGUGAGUAACCUGCCCUUGACUUUGGGAUAACUUCAGGAAACUGGGGCUAAUACCGGAUAGGAGCUCCUGCUGCAUGGUGGGGGUUGGAAAGUUUCGGCGGUUGGGGAUGGACUCGCGGCUUAUCAGCUUGUUGGUGGGGUAGUGGCUUACCAAGGCUUUGACGGGUAGCCGGCCUGAGAGGGUGAACGGCCACAUUGGGACUGAGAUACGGCCCCGAAUCCUAAGGGGGGCAGCAGGGGGGAAUAUUGCACAAUGGGCGGAAGCCUGAUGCAGCAACGCCGCGUGCGGGAUGACGGCCUUCGGGUUGUAAACCGCUUUCGCCUGUGACGAAGCGUGAGUGACGGUAAUGGGUAAAGAAGCACCGGCUAACUACGUG
rnacentral:rRNA from 1 species